CGGAGUGUAGUAUAACGGCAGUAUACAUGCUUUGGGAGCAUGAGGCCUGGGUUCAAUUCCCAGCACUCCGACCA
rnacentral:tRNA from 1 species